CAUGCAGUCGAACGGUAACAGGAARAAGCUUGCUKYUUUGCUGACGAGUGGCGGACGGGUGAGUAAUGUCUGGGAAACUGCCUGAUGGAGGGGGAUAACUACUGGAAACGGUAGCUAAUACCGCAUAACGUCGCAAGACCAAAGAGGGGGACCUUCGGGCCUCUUGCCAUCGGAUGUGCCCAGAUGGGAUUAGCUUGUUGGUGGGGUAACGGCUCACCWAGGCGACGAUCCCUAGCUGGUCUGAGAGGAUGACCAGCCACACUGGAACUGAGACACGGUCCAGACUCCUACGGGAGGCAGCAGUGGGGAAUAUUGCACAAUGGGCGCAAGCCUGAUGCAGCCAUGCCGCGUGUAUGAAGAAGGCCUUCGGGUUGUAAAGUACUUUCAGCGGGGAGGAAGGGAGUAAAGUUAAUACCUUURCUCAUUGACGUUACCCGCAGAAGAAGCACCGGCUAACUCCGUGCCAGCAGCCGCGGUAAUACGGAGGGUGCAAGCGUUAAUCGGAAUUACUGGGCGUAAAGCGCACGCAGGCGGUUUGUUAAGUCAGAUGUGAAAUCCCCGGGCUCAACCUGGGAACUGCAUCUGAUACUGGCAAGCUUGAGUCUCGUAGAGGGGGGUAGAAUUCCAGGUGUAGCGGUGAAAUGCGUAGAGAUCUGGAGGAAUACC
rnacentral:rRNA from 1 species